UAGGGAAUCUUCCACAAUGGACGCAAGUCUGAUGGAGCAACGCCGCGUGAGUGAAGAAGGUUUUCGGACCGUAAAGCUCUGUUGUUGGUGAAGAAGGAUAGAGGUAGUAACUGGCCUUUAUUUGACGGUAAUCAACCAGAAAGUCACGGCUAACUACGUGCCAGCAGCCGCGGUAAUACGUAGGUGGCAAGCGUUGUCCGGAUUUAUUGGGCGUAAAGCGAGCGCAGGCGGAAGAAUAAGUCUGAUGUGAAAGCCCUCGGCUUAACCGAGGAAUUGCAUCGGAAACUGUUUUUCUUGAGUGCAGAAGAGGAGAGUAGAACUCCAUGUGUAGCGGUGGAAUGCGUAGAUAUAUGGAAGAAUACCAGUGGCGAAGGCGGCUCUCUGGUCUGCAACUGACGCUGAGGCUCGAAAGCAUGGGUAGCGAACAGGAUUAGAUACCCUGGUAGUCCAUGCCGUAAAACGAUGAGUGCUAAGUGUUGGGAGGCUUCCGCCUCUCAGUGCUGCAGCUAACGCAUUAAGCACUCCGCCUGGGGGAGUACGACCGCAAGGUUGAAAC
rnacentral:rRNA from 1 species